UACGUAGGGUGCAAGCGUUAAUCGGAAUUACUGGGCGUAAAGCGUGCGCAGGCGGUUGUGCAAGACAGAUGUGAAAUCCCCGGGCUUAACCUGGGAACUGCAUUUGUGACUGCACGACUAGAAUCUGGCAGAGGGGGGUAGAAUUCCAUGUGUAGCAGUGAAAUGCGUAGAUAUGCGGAGGAACACCGAUGGCGAAGGCAAUCCCCUGGGCCUGUACUGACGCUCAGGCACGAAAGCGUGGGGAGCAAACAGG
rnacentral:rRNA from 1 species